GAAGAAGCAGGCUCCCAGCUGAUGAGCCUGAUGCGGGACUCAAUCCCAGAACGCCGGGAUCACGCCCUGAGCCGAAGGCAGACGCUUAAUGACUGAGCCACCCAGGCGCCCCUGUAAUUGACAACUUUUGAGUCAAGUGGUGCGGCACCAGACCUUCCCUCUUCUGGCUUCCGGACUCCAUCUCAGUGAGGUUUUCCCUUUAUCAAUAUUCACAUUUCCUUCUCUUUGAUCAGGAUCUUUCUCUGAAAACAUUGCUGAUCGAGAGUCAGAUUUUCUUAAAUUCAUUGGCCUUUUGUCCCUUGGUGCCAGGAAGGACCUUUCCUGGGUGUCAUGUGUCACGUUGGAGAGAAAUUGUACCUAUUGGAAGCCUACUAAGAUCAUGUUUGAGUAACAAGGAGCAGGGCACAGGAGAAUUCUCAGGCACUUCCCAUCUGUAGUCCAUACUUACCAAGAUCAUAAGCAGUGGAGAUCAUCUCCUCCUUGGGUACAUCGUUUUUACAAAGGUUUGACAGCCAACAAGUACAGAAUCAAAAGUCACAGGACAAAUCCAAACUGCACGAUGAUCCUAAGAUUUCAGAGCCCUGAGCCCUAGGUCUGAACGCAGACAACUGAAAAUAUUUGUUGGCCCUUAUUCCGACUUAGGGGAGAAAAGUUCCCCUUGUAGAGGCAAACUUGGCACCACGUGUGCCCCCUGGAAAGUCCGCACUUAUUCAGCCACGAAAGCAGAAUAAUGUAUACUGCACGAGCGUCCUUACUUGCAAUUAACCAAGUGCGCUGGAGACAAUGGAAUGCAGGUGUAAAUGUGAAGCAAUAGCUGAUGAAUUUUUUACAAAACAGCAAAACUUCAAAGACAUUUUAGAACAAUAUUGUUAUCUUAAACUGGAACGGAAUGUAUUAUCAGGAUACAGUCUAAUAAAGAAUCCAUUCAAUGGUCCAGAUGAAAAAGAGAAACUUCUGUGAAUCUGAAACCUUCUAACAGGCCUGGUCUGGAUAUCUUGGCAAAGUGGUCUUGUCAGAUGUCGCCUGCUUCAAUUCCAGGUCACCAGAGGCUGUGCAGGUCCAGUGAGGUUUGGUGCUUUCUUUACAUGUUACGUGAAUCCAAGAGUCUGUUCCCUGGAGUUCGGUGGCACAAGGGCUGGUUAGUAGUACCGGAGAAGGACCUUUCCAGCAAGGUUGAAGAGUCUUUCUGGAGGUGUCUUUUCCAACAGACGCAAUCUCCAGGUUGCAAGGCAUGAUGUUUACAAUCUUCAUCUCCUGGGAGAGCGCGGUGAAAUGACUGCACCAAAGCAUGUGAGGAGUGGACAUAGUUUCCGAUUCCAUCUUGGUCCUUUGAACUAAAAGACAGAGAUCCCAGUUCAGCGCCUUAAUGAACACGGAGGCUGCUCCCUUCGGGCAAGUUUCCUGCCCUAGUGUCUGGCCGGGCCCUCAGCAACAAGCCCUGGAUGGAUUCAUCUAAAUCCGAGAAAUCAGGCUGAGAACAAAUGAAAACAACGAGCUGCACGGUGCCCGGGCCCCGGAAAAAGCCUCACUCCGGGCGGCAGGGGUAUCGGCUCCGGGGGCAGCCGUGCCCAGUGUCCCCCAGGACCAGGAGCAGCCAGGUGGUGGCUCGUCCGUGCCAGGUGAGCAAAGGAGCCUCAUCAGGUCAGCGGGGCCGGACGGCGCAGACGCCGGGUGGAGACGGAGAACACACGGCGGUUCCACUGGAUCUGUGGGAAGUUCCAAAGCAGGCAGAGCUGAGAAAUACCGGUGCAAGGGCGCCCUGGGCCAUGAAACCAUGGGAAAGAGCGAAGGGACGGUUAAGCCGAGGGCCGCUGAGGUCCUGGGCGUGUUCUGAUUCGUAGGUGGGCUGUGACAGCGAUUUUGUUACUGCUUUUUAAAACUUUACAGAUACAUUCUCUGUAUACUUGUCACGGUCCUUAUAGUUUACAGUUAGAACAGAGGGAGUAUGUCAGCAGUGGCUCUUCUGGGUGAAGUAUGAGGGCUGCAUUUUGUUCUCCUGUUUGGUUUUCUGUACUUUCUACAUUAUUUGACUGAGCUGUUGUUAUUUUUAAACUAAAGGCCAAAAUGAAUUAACUGUAUUUUAAAAGGAACUCAGAAAACAAAUAAGGCGAUUGUCCGUCCUGUUCAGCUGAGCUCAUCACACUCGAUGGCCUCCACCUGGGCCUGAAGUUCGGGGGCCCCAGAGGCACCCCAAACUUUUGUGCCAGGAUGGCCCCGAGUUAGGAGAGAAAUAUCUCCCCAGGCCUGAUCUCUCCUCCCAAGAUUAGCCCCUCCAGGUCCUUUGGCUGACUCCCAAACCUUUGAUGGCACAACACCGAAAGUGAGCCCUACUGUUGACUGCCGGCUUUGGGUAAGAAGGCCGUGUCAGUGUAGGCCCAUCACCCCUCGGGGGCGGGGGGGACGGAUCACAGUGGAGGCCGUGCAUGUGGGAGGAGGGACGGGGCACAUGGGAAAUGUCUGCACCUUCCUCUCAGUUCUGCUGUGAGCCUAAAACUGCUCUAAAAAAGUCAAGUGUUUGAAAACAAUCAGCUGGCCACAGGUGCAGGGUUCCUUCCAGACUCUCACUUCCAUUGCAUCGAUCCUUGCACCAGUGCUGUGUGGUUUUGGUUCCUGUAGCUUUUAGUAAACUUUGAGAUUGGAAAGUGUGGGCCCUCCAGCUUUGUUCUUCUUUUUCAAGAUUUUUUUUUUUCCUCUUCAGGCUCCUUGUAUUUCUGUAUGAUUUCAGGAUCAGGUUUUCCAUUUCCAUAGUGGAAGAGGCCACUGGGAUUUGGGUCGGGUUUUUUGUUUGUUUGUUUUUUUAAGACUUUUAUUUAUUUAUUUGACAGAGAGAGAACAAAUAGGGGGAGUGGCAGGCAGAGGGAGAGGGAGAAGCAGGCUCCUCACUGCUGGAAGCCUGAUGUGGGGCUUGAUCCCAGGACCCUGAGAUCACGACAUGAGUUGAAGGCAGAUGCUUAACCGGCUGAGCCACCCAGGUGCCCCUUGGGUGGGGUUGUUAAACCCGCAGAGCAGUUUGGGAAGUUUUGCCAUCUUGACAAUAGCAAGUCGCCAAUCCAUGAACAGAUGGGAUGGGAUGUCUUUACAUUUAUUUAGGUCUUUUCAAAUUUCUUUCAGCAACGUUUCAUAGUUUUUGGUGUACAAACCUCACACCUGCUUGGUUAAAUGUAUUCCUAAAUAUUUUAUUCUUUCUGAUAUUAUUGUAAAUGUCUUAAUUUCCUUUUUGAGAUUGCUCGUUGCUAGUGCAUAGAAAUACAAAUGAUUGGGGUGCCUGGGUGGCCGAGUCGGUUAAGCAGCCGACUCUUGGUUUUGGCUCAGGUCGUGAUCUCGGCUUAGGGUUUUUUUUUAUUCAUCCCAAAGUAUUUUCGAUAUCACCUGUGAUUUGUUUCUUCGACCCAUUGAUGGUUUAGGAGUGUGCUGCUUACUUCCCACGUAUCUGUGAAUUCACAAAAUGCCCUUGUAUUAUUUAUUUCUAGUUUUAGUCCCAGGAAGUCAGAGAAGAUACUUUGUAUUAUUUUAAUCCUUAUAAGUUAAUGAGAUUUAUUUAAGAGCUUAACAAACAGUCUAUUUUGGAGAAUGUUCCGUGUGCACUUGAGAAAAAAUGAAUGUUCUAUUGUUGGAUGGAGUGUUCUGUAGAUUUUUGUUAGGGUUGUAGCUAUUAGAUGUGUUUUAUAAUGUUAUGUAAGCUCUCUCUUUUUUUAAGCGAGAAAGGGGAAGAGGGGCAGAGAGAAUCUUAAGCAGGCUCCACGCCCAGCACGUAGCCCGACAUGGGGCUCCAUCUAACGACCUGAGAUCAUGACCUGAGCCGAUAUCAAGAGUUAAAUGCUUAACCAGCCAAGCCACCCAGGCACCGCUCCUCUACGUUCUUACUGAUCCUCUGUCUAGAUGUUCUGUCCGUUAUUGCGAGUGGAGCAUAGAACUCUCCAACUCUGCUUGUACAAUUGUCUGUUUCUCCGUGCAGCUCUCUCAGUUCUUGCUUCAUAGAUUUGGGGUCCCUGCAGUUGGAUGCAUGUAUGUUAAUUGUUCUAUUUCCUGUGGAUUGAUCCUUUUAUCCAUAUAUAAUAUUUUUCUUUGUCUCUUGUAAUAAUUUUUGUCCCAAAGUCUAUUUUGUUUGGUACUAGUAUAUGGUCUCAGUCACUUCNACCUGCUCAAGGUCAUGCACUUGGGAAGUGGUGGAGUCAGGACUAGAACCCAGGUCUGUCCAGGCUCCAAGCUCAGGCUCUUCCUGCAAGCUGUGAUCCAGCUCUGGGGGGAGUCAGCUCAAUGACCUGCAAGGUCCUUCCACACCUAGAGUGCACCUGGGAAGCCUUCUAGAGUUCUGAAAGCACCUUCAUGCCUGUCUGUCCUUUCAGUUGACUUCCCAACAGCUGAGCUGGUGAGGUGGGCAGGGCAGGUACUGACCCACAUCUCGGUUGCCUGUGAGGGGACAAGGCUUAGAGACAUUGAGGUAAUGACAGCCCCAAGGUCACAUUCGAGUCAGCAUCACCAUCAGAACCCAAGUGUUGGGUUCAGUCGCUGCUUUGCACAGAGCUGCCAGGCGCCAAGGGUCUGUGUUUCUCACGGUUAGGAUCCACCCACCCACCCACCUGUCCAUCGUUCACACAUACCAACCUCUCCGUGACCCACCAAUCCACCCGCUCA